AGGCUGCAACUCGCCNGCAUGAAGUCGGAAUUGCUAGUAAUCGCAGAUCAGCAUGCUGCGGUGAAUACGUUCCCGGGCCUUGUACACACCGCCCGUCACACCAUGGGAGUCGGUAACACCCGAAGUCGGUAGCCUAACCGUAAGGAGGGCGCCGCCGAAGGUGGGAUUGAUGACUGGGGUGAAGUCGUAACAAGGUACC
rnacentral:rRNA from 1 species